rnacentral:rRNA from 1 species
GAUGAACGCUGGCGGCGUGCCUAAUACAUGCAAGUAGAACGCUGAAGGAGGAGCUUGCUCUUCUGGAUGAGUUGCGAACGGGUGAGUAACGCGUAGGUAACCUGCCUGGUAGCGGGGGAUAACUAUUGGAAACGAUAGCUAAUACCGCAUGACAACAGUUAUUGCAUGAUAACUGUUUAAAAGGGGCAACUGCUCCACUACCAGAUGGACCUGCGUUGUAUUAGCUAGUUGGUGAGGUAACGGCUCACCAAGGCGACGAUACAUAGCCGACCUGAGAGGGGGAUCGGCCAAACUGGGACUGAGACACGGCCCAGACUCCUACGGGAGGCAGCAGUAGGGAAUCUUCGGCAAUGGACGGAAGGCUGACCGAGCAACGCCGCGUGAGUGAAGAAGGGUUUCGGAUCGUAAAGCUCUGUUGUAAGAGAAGAACGAGUGUGAGAGUGGAAAGUUCACACUGUGACGGUAUCUUACCAGAAAGGGAUGGCUAACUACGUG